UCUGUCUCAAACCGGAUCAUCCUGCAGGAUGGUCUCAUGGGGACUAGAAAGGAAGAGCUCCCCCCUUUGAAUGGAACCCCCCCCAGGGCUCCAAGAUCGCAGACCCUCUAGGUGGACCCCUGGCACUAGCCAGGUGUUUGGGUUUCUACCGCCACAUCUUCCAGCCCUCUGACUUGGUCCCCUGCGGCUGAGUCAGCCGCCUCUUCAGAGGCUGUUUGGCCCAGGCCUCACCCCAUGAGCCCAGACAGAAGGGGGACCUUGGAGCACCCCCCCCUUUCUCCCCUGAGCCAGGCCCCAAGUGUGGCUCUUGUUCCUCGCCUCAGACUCCUGCCACAGCGAUGCAGGAGGGGGCCAGGAAGAAAGAGAUGGGGAAGGAAGGGGUGGGGGACGGGGGGCCCGAGGCCACCCCAUCCUGUGCACCUCCUCCUUCUCUGAGGGGAGUGCAGGUGAGAAAGGAGCCCAAGGUGGGAAAGAGGGGGAGCUGCGCUGGGGAGGACCACCGGGCUUGACCAUCUGCUGUCUUCCUGCCAGGGCUCAGCGGCAAGGGUGCCCCUCUCCUGUGGCACCUGGGGAGGGGUCAUCCCUGGAGGAGCAGGUGCUAUGACCUGAUCCGGGUUGGCGAGGAAGAAGGUUUCAAGGCCCAUGUGGCAGAAACCAUCUACAGGUUAUGGCAAGG